rnacentral:lncRNA from 1 species
UAGACAUCCUCACUAAUAUACACAGUAUUUAAGACUCUAAAUGAGAUUUCUUAAGUAUUUUAUUUUAUUCUCUGUAAAUGGUUUUGUAUGAUCUUUAAAAAUCUACACUUUGCUUUUGUAGAUAUUUAAGGGAAACCAUUUGGGGGUUGUCUUGCAUGUAUAUUUUUGUUGUAGAUAAGUAUUGCUUAGUUAUUUCUGCAAAUUUUGGUUGAAAUGCGUACAGACUUUAAUACAGUAUAUAUAUUUUCAGAAUAUAAACUUUUAUAUUUCUGUGGUAAGUUAGGAUCUGCGUUUUAGGCAAUCUUUUCCAUUAAUAUCACUUGUUCUUUCAAGAAAUAGCAUUCUGGUUUGGUGCCAAUGGUUUUCUGUUUUUUUUU